rnacentral:rRNA from 1 species
GACGAACGCUGGCGGCGUGCCUAAUACAUGCAAGUCGAACGCUUCUUUCCUCCCGAGUGCUUGCACUCAAUUGGAAAGAGGAGUGGCGGACGGGUGAGUAACACGUGGGUAACCUACCCAUCAGAGGGGGAUAACACUUGGAAACAGGUGCUAAUACUGCAUAACAGUUUAUGCCGCAUGGCAUAAGAGUGAAAGGCGCUUUCGGGUGUCGCUGAUGGAUGGACCCGCGGUGCAUUAGCUAGUUGGUGAGGUAACGGCUCACCAAGGCCACGAUGCAUAGCCGACCUGAGAGGGUGAUCGGCCACACUGGGACUGAGACACGGCCCAGACUCCUACGGGAGGCAGCAGUAGGGAAUCUUCGGCAAUGGACGAAAGUCUGACCGAGCAACGCCGCGUGAGUGAAGAAGGUUUUCGGAUCGUAAAACUCUGUUGUUAGAGAAGAACAAGGACGUUAGUAACUGAACGUCCCCUGACGGUAUCUAACCAGAAAGCCACGGCUAACUACGUGCCAGCAGCCGCGGUAAUACGUAGGUGGCAAGCGUUGUCCGGAUUUAUUGGGCGUAAAGCGAGCGCAGGCGGUUUCUUAAGUCUGAUGUGAAAGCCCCCGGCUCAACCGGGGAGGGUCAUUGGAAACUGGGAGACUUGAGUGCAGAAGAGGAGAGUGGAAUUCCAUGUGUAGCGGUGAAAUGCGUAGAUAUAUGGAGGAACACCAGUGGCGAAAGCGGCUCUCUGGUCUGUAACUGACGCUGAGGCUCGAAAGCGUGGGGAGCAAACAGG